AUGCUUAAAAUUGAUUUAGCCAAAACUUUCGAUAGACUUGAAUGGAACUACAUUAUGCAAGCUCUCUCACGAAAAAGGCUUCAUGGUCAUUUCAUCAAUUUGAUUUAUGCAUGCAUUACGGUUCCUUCUUUUUGUGUUACCAUUAAUGGCCAAUCUUAUGGUCGCUUCCAGAGUUGCAGGGGGAUUAGACAAGGAUGUCCUUUAUUUCCUUACUUGUUUGUUUUAGCAAUUAACGAGCUUUCUAUAUCCCUCCAAGAGGCUAUGUGCUCAAAUCAUUUGGCAGGUAUAUCUUUAGGCACUGGUUGUCCUCCCAUUCACUCACUCAUGUUUGCAGAUGAUUUAUUAAUUUGUGGUCAAGCCUCAAUUACUGAAGCUACUCACAUGCUCCAUAUUCUUCAAAGAUUCUGCAACCUAUCAGGUCAAACUCCUAACUGGAAUAAAUCAGGUAUCAUUUUCAGCGCAAAUGUUAGUGCUUGCAUUAAGGAUGACAUCAAAAGAAUUUUUCCUGUUAUGGACAUCGAUGCUAAUUCAGUUCACCUUGGGCACCCUUUAAUCCUACCAGCCAAGGAUAGAUUUGCUGCUUAUAAUUUCGUGGCUGACAAAUUUCGUAACAAACUUAGUGGUUACAAGGCCAAUAAACUCUCUCAUGCAGUCAGAUUAACGCUUAUUAAUUCUGUCUUUGCUUCCAUCCCCAUAUAUUACAUGUCUAACAUAUUAUUCUCUAGGAAGUUGAUUGCAAAGCUCACGGCCAUUAUUAGGAAUUUUUGGUGGACAUGA
rnacentral:rRNA from 1 species